rnacentral:rRNA from 1 species
CUACACAUGCAGUCGAGCGGUAGCACAGAGAGCUUGCUCUCGGGUGACGAGCGGCGGACGGGUGAGUAAUGUCUGGGAAACUGCCUGAUGGAGGGGGAUAACUACUGGAAACGGUAGCUAAUACCGCAUAACGUCGCAAGACCAAAGUGGGGGACCUUCGGGCCUCAUGCCAUCAGAUGUGCCCAGAUGGGAUUAGCUAGUAGGUGGGGUAACGGCUCACCUAGGCGACGAUCCCUAGCUGGUCUGAGAGGAUGACCAGCCACACUGGAACUGAGACACGGUCCAGACUCCUACGGGAGGCAGCAGUGGGGAAUAUUGCACAAUGGGCGCAAGCCUGAUGCAGCCAUGCCGCGUGUGUGAAGAAGGCCUUCGGGUUGUAAAGCACUUUCAGCGGGGAGGAAGGCGAUGAGGUUAAUAACCUUGUCGAUUGACGUUACCCGCAGAAGAAGCACCGGCUAACUCCGUGCCAGCAGCCGCGGUAAUACGGAGGGUGCAAGCGUUAAUCGGAAUUACUGGGCGUAAAGCGCACGCAGGCGGUCUGUCAAGUCGGAUGUGAAAUCCCCGGGCUCAACCUGGGAACUGCAUUCGAAACUGGCAGGCUAGAGUCUUGUAGAGGGGGGUAGAAUUCCAGGUGUAGCGGUGAAAUGCGUAGAGAUCUGGAGGAAUACCGGUGGCGAAGGCGGCCCCCUGGACAAAGACUGACGCUCAGGUGCGAAAGCGUGGGGAGCAAACAGGAUUAGAUACCCUGGUAGUCCACGCUGUAAACGAUGUCGAUUUGGAGGUUGUGCCCUUGAGGCGUGGCUUCCGGAGCUAACGCGUUAAAUCGACCGCCUGGGGAGUACGGCCGCAAGGUUAAAACUCAAAUGAAUUGACGGGGGCCCGCACAAGCGGUGGAGCAUGUGGUUUAAUUCGAUGCAACGCGAAGAACCUUACCUGGUCUUGACAUCCACAGAACUUUCCAGAGAUGGAUUGGUGCCUUCGGGAACUGUGAGACAGGUGCUGCAUGGCUGUCGUCAGCUCGUGUUGUGAAAUGUUGGGUUAAGUCCCGCAACGAGCGCAACCCUUAUCCUUUGUUGCCAGCGGUCAGG